rnacentral:rRNA from 1 species
UACGUAGGUCGCAAGCGUUGUCCGGAUUUACUGGGCGUAAAGCGCGGGCAGGCGGCUCGAAACGUCUGAUGUGAAAUCUCCUCGCUCAACGGGGAGAGGCCAUUGGAAACGGUCGAGCUGGAGGGCAGUAGAGGUAGGCGGAAUUCCGGGUGGAGUGGUGAAAUGCGUAGAGAUCCGGAGGAACACCGACGGCGUAGGCAGCGCCCUGGCUGUGAAUAAAGCUGACACUGAGGCACGAAAGCUGGGGGAGCAAACAGG